rnacentral:rRNA from 1 species
CCUACGGGGGGCUGCAGUGAGGAAUAUUGGUCAAUGGGCGUAAGCCUGAACCAGCCAAGUCGCGUGAGGGAUGAAGGUUCUAUGGAUCGUAAACUUCUUUUAUAAGGGAAUAAAGUGUGGGACGUGUCCCAUUUUGUAUGUACCUUAUGAAUAAGGAUCGGCUAACUCCGUGCCAGCAGCCGCGGUAAUACGGAGGAUCCGAGCGUUAUCCGGAUUUAUUGGGUUUAAAGGGUGCGUAGGUGGCCUUUUAAGUCAGCGGUGAAAGUUUGUGGCUCAACCAUAAAAUUGCCGUUGAUACUGGGGGGCUUGAGUAUGUUUGAGGCAGGCGGAAUGCGUGGUGUAGCGGUGAAAUGCUUAGAUAUCACGAAGAACCCCGAUUGCGAAGGCAGCCUGCCAAGCCAUGACUGACGCUGAUGCACGAAAGCGUGGGGAUCAAACAGGAUUAGAUACCCUGGUAGUC